GAUGAACGCUGGCGGCGUGCCUAAUACAUGCAAGUCGAGCGAACGGACGAGAAGCUUGCUUCUUUGUUGUUAGCGGCGGACGGGUGAGUAACACGUGUAUAACCUACCUAUAAGACUGGUAUAACUUCGGGAAACCGGAGCUAAUACCGGAUAAGAUUUUGAACCGCAUGGUUCAAAAGUGAAAGACGGUCUUGCUGUCACGUAUAGAUGGAUCCGGGCUGCAUUAGCUAGUUGGUAAGUUAACGGCUUACCAAGGCAACGAUGCAUAGCCGACCUGAGAGGGUGAUAGGCCACACGGGAACGGGAACGCGGUCAAGACGCCUGCGGGAGGCAGCAGUAGGGAAUCUUCCGCAAUGGGCGAGAGCCUGACGGAGCAACGCCGCGUGUGUGGUGAAGGUGUUCGGAUCGUAAAACUCUGUUAUUAGGGAAGAACAGAUGUGUAAGGAACUGUGCACAUAUUGACGGUAACUAGUCAGAAAGCCACGGCUAACUACGUG
rnacentral:rRNA from 1 species